rnacentral:lncRNA from 1 species
UUAGAAAGCAUUAUUUUAUGUCAUGUUAUUGUUAUAUCUAUAGCUUAAGUACCUUUUACACCUCCUAGACAUGAAUAUUUUAUACCUCGUGAAAAAAACAUCAUUGCGACGCCACUAAGAAUAAAUUAUCAAAUGAUAUCUAUUCUCAUUAAUGUUUCUAACUCUCUAAUGUGUCACCAACCUAAAAAAUGAUGACAUAAAAACCAUACCUUUAUUUGGGAUUAUGUUGGACUCUACCCAUAAGGCAAUUAUGCAAAAGAAGACCAACUAUUGACCCUCUUUUGCCAAAAAUACCUUAUUUUCCAAAAAAAAAAAAAUCAUCUACAUAACCUACACCUUGC